rnacentral:lncRNA from 1 species
CGGAUCUGUAGACCCAGCCCAGCCUGGUCAAGGGAAGAGAGUUCCCGCAGUGCUCAGUUGUGAGAGCAGCAAGGGUGGUCAUCCAUGCUGUCCCUGAAAGGGUUCACAUGAUCCUGUGGAAGCCUGCCCAGACCCUACAGGGAGAAGAGAUGAAGACAAGAUGAAAAUAAGUUUCAUGUACAGUGGAAAGUUCCUGCUGGAGGCAUAAAGGUGAAAAGCAUUUUCCUCAAAUAACACUUUUUUAAGAAAAUAAAUACACAAAACAUCACUAGAACACAGA